UUCAAACAUAAACCGUUGAAUUUCCCGGAUGGAGAGGGCUGGAGAGAGAUGGGACGGGGGAAUGGCGCUGGGAAAUUCUUGCCCUUAAAGCUACGCCCCCUCGUGGACCCGGAGGCAAGAAUUGAGGGGGAUGCAGACCCAUACAGAAACACUGCCAGUAUCAACAGACUUUUGCAGAAAGACAUGGGGAGAGAAUGAAAAAAAGAUGUGACGAGUAGAGGGAAGAAAAAGAAGAUGGAUGACAUGGUACCACAGUGGGACUGGAAAUUCAAUGUGAAGAAAAGAAGUUACAUCUCUGCUGUCUUAAAAAGUAAGUUUUUUAUUAUUUAAGCGUGGUGAAGCUAACAGAUUAAGAGGCAACUGCCAUUGAAAAGAUAGCUUGUUAUACUCACAUAUCCCAUGAGGAGGGGACAGGCCUCUCCAUCGGGCCACAUGGAAGCACUGGGGUGUGUCAGAAGGCAGAGGGAGCUGGUGAAAAUGUAGGCAAGAGUCUUUAAUGUGGUUUCUAUGAGGAGCAGCACAGGGCAGAACAUUUAGGUUUCGGUAAGUUCAGCAGGCUUGGGGGAGCAGAGCUGUCCCUGGCUGUUUGGUACCUGGCUUUGAGUGAUUAGAAAUGGUCUUGAGCCUGCUAGAGGAGGUGAUCUAAGGUGCCGCCUCUGUACUGGUUGGCUUGCAUAUGAAGGGAACUAGGAGUGGUUUGUUAUUUGUGGGAAUUACGUAACCCUAAAGAGGUCAUCCCUCCAGUGAUAACACUGUCCCAGAUGUGAAAGCAUCAAAAUACCUGAAACAAGAAGCCAUGGUUCCUACAGUACAAGGAUUUUGCUGCAUGGCAGAAAGUCAGAUAAUAAACCUUUGAUUACCAUUAGCUGAAAUCGCGGAAGUAGUGAGAAAUUCUAUAUGGCAUUUAUAGAGGAAAGGCCUAUUCUAGACCAGCAAUAAUAGAAUCCUUCCUUGAAAUAACGUGUAAACUGAGUCUUGAGGAGUAUAGAAGGCAAAGCGGGGAUGGAGCAUGGCCAGAAGGAGGGGGCAGAGUUCACAGCAUGUGCUAUGACCUGGACUUAUGAGUGUGUUUGGGAAGAUGCGUGUCAUAAAGGAGUCUAAUAUGACUGGAGUGGACAACAAGAGGUGAAUUAACAAGAGAAAGAUCAUUAGUCAGGCAACAAAUAUUGACUGAACAUCUAGGAAUCACGCUUUUGCUGUAAACUAGAGUUUGAUGAUGUGAGAAGGGUGCAAUUGUGGACAGCCUUGGAAUUCACGUAAAGCAGCUCAGAUUUUGUCUUAAGUUCAAAGGGAAUGCAUUAAAUGGUUUUCAGGGGCAGAAGGAAAGGCUGUGUUGCAAAAUGGGGAUUUGAUAUUAUCAUGUAACUCCAGAGCUGGCUCUGAGAUUCAUUGAAGAAGAAAAAAAGAAUUGACAGCAAGUGGAGGGGUAAAGGUUUUCUUUGAAAAGUAUUGGUUUUCUUGAUUUUGCAUACAUGUUCUUUAACAAUGGAGUCUGUAAUAUGUUUAAAAGUUUGUCAAGAGAGUUGAGGCUGGGCUCUAGGACAUCCUUGCAGCUGCUAUCAUCUCAAUAGCAAAGGAAAUGUUUUAUCUGCUCUUUCAUUAUGUGAAUGUAUUCUCAGUGCAAGUGGAAAAUGAUAAAUUGAAAAGCAUCUUUCAAGGUUGUGAAGCUGAUUAUUGCCUGCUUUGCAGCAAUGUUGUUUUUCUCUGUUUAUUUUUUGUACAAAGGGAGGAAUUGAAUCAAAACCUUAAAAACUGCUACAGGUAUAAGUAUGGUUGUUUGCUCUUGAAGUAUCUAAAUAAAUUUGUUUUUUAAAUAACCUUAUGCCAACAACCACUUGUUGAGGGUUCUCAAGAGUUUUAACUAUAUUACCACAUUCAUCUCUGCAAUUCUACAAGGUAGAUAAAGGAUGGGAAUAACAAUUUGAUAACAGAAGUUGUUGGGUAUUAAUUUUAAACAGGAGAAACUGCAAUUCCAACUCAGCUCAACCUACACAAAAGCCCAGGCUUUUCACUUCCAUGUUAUGGGCUCUGCCUCCAGUGUGCUGCGUCGUAUAACACGUAGUCUACGGGAAAGAGAACACCUCACAGCUGGGAAUCUUGUGGCAUAAUUCACAACACACACUGAGGGCAUCUGUUAGGUCACAGCACAGCUCCUGGCCUUGUCACCUUUACAAUAUUCAAUUUAAUUGGUGCUUUCCGGUGGCAAACAUCUCAUUUAGGCCGUUGCAAAGAUAACCCAGUUUCCUAUAUGAGCUUCUGUCCAUUCCAUCCAGAUGAAUAGGUGUUGUUUACUAAGAUUGCUGGACAAAGCCAAUGAAGUGAGGGCCAAUGAAGUCUUGCCAACAUGGUAAAGAUUCUAAGUCUUUCCCUAGGGCUCAUGCUGUUUCUGUGGUGGGAUUGUGGGGAGCGUAUCUUAAAUGUUUAUCUUCAGGCGCUUAAAUGACCCUCAUUCUUUAAUUCCAGUGAAUUUGGUAGGGUAACCAACAGACAAAUCAUCAUAAAAGGAAUUCAAAUCCAGGGGAAAUAAAUAAUCCCUGCUAGAAAAUGUCCUCAGGUACGCCAGAGAGCUAAACCGCAAAGGUUCCAGUUAGUAGCCACUCAUGUGUUUUAGCUUUUCAAAAGACAUUUUCCCUUUUGUUUAUUACAUUCACUUCAUAAAUGUUAAGGAAAUUUUUUAAAAAUUGCAAGAAAAAAACAAAGAGAAAGAAUGAAAGAUAGAUUAUCUAAUAAGAACCCAUUUCUGAAAACUUAAUUUACUUAUAGAGUUUAUGAAACAAAAUUUUAUCUGAUUGUGUUACUUUAAAAGAUAAUUUUACCUAAAGUUCAUAGUCAUACAGAAUCUGCAGCUACUUAUAUGAAAGAGUGCAGGUAAGGAUUAUCUCAGCGGAUAAAGCAUCAUUCUGGAUGUGUCAGUGAGGGCGUUCCUGGAGGAAACUGGCAUGCGAAUCAAUGGCCCGAGUGGGGAAGAUCUUCCCUUAAGAUGGGCAGACACCAUCCAAUCAGCUGAGGGCCUGGGUGGAACCAAACAGCAGAGGAAAGACAAAUUUUCUCUCUCUCUCAUGGAGGUAGAAUACCUUUCUUCACCUUAGAUACUCAUACUUAAGAUUCUCCAGCCUCCAGACUCCAGGACUUUCACCAGUAGCCCACCAACCCCACCUCCUGAGUUCUUAGGCCUUCAGCUCCAGACUAAGAGUUAUACCAUCAGCUUCCAUGAUGCUGAGGCUUUCAAAUUUGUACUAAACCAGCCAUAUUGCUGAAUCCCUGUGUCACCAGCUUGUAUACAACCUGUUGUGGGACUUCUCAACCUUCAUAAUUACAUGAGCCAAUUCCCCUAAUUAAUCCCAUCCAUCCAUCCAUCCAUCCAUCCAGGCAUCCAAUCAUAUAUCCAUCCAUCCAUCCAUCCAUCCAUCCAUCCAUCCAUCCAUCCAUCAUACUGUUGCUGUCUCUCUAGAGAACCCUAACUAUUGCCCAACUACCCUGAUGCAGAGCUUCCUAUUUACAUUGUGUAUGGCAGGUCAUAGUCUGGAAAGCAUCAUUAAAAAUGCACCAAUACCCAUUAGACCACAUAUCCCCAAUGACUUCAAAUCCCAUCUGUCUUGCCUGUCUCUGGUUCCAGCUGCUAUUGAGUGCCUUACUGCACGUGGGCUCCAACCAAUUGCAGCAAAGUGCCACCUGCCCCCAGCUCACCUCCUGUCUAGGCUACAUAAUCCUCCACCUCCCUAGUACUUCUGUUGAGGUGAAGAGGUGAGCAUCAACAAGCAAGACCCUAUUGCAGCUUGUACAACCUCAACCUGGAAGUGCUAGGAACUUAAUCCCUGUGUCACCAGCUUGUAUACAACCUGUUGUAUACAAAACUUUGACCAGUGGGAGAUGAGAACAGUAGAUUACUUCUUCCUUCAGGCACCUCACUGAACUGAGACAGAGUGACGUUUUGGAGAACGGUCUCCACACCCAGAAAUCAGCUGCAUCCUUUAGCUGCCUCUGUCACUUUCUCUGCUUCACUCUCCUUGCCCAUCACUCCUGCUCUCCAGGGCUGGCCAGUCAAGCAGUAGUACAUGGUGCUGCCUCAGGCUCUGCUUUACAGGAAAUCCAGACAUUUCCAUGAAUUCCUCAUUCCAAUUAUUUAUAUCUAUACAGUGUGUUUACAAAAGUGCUUUUAGAAUAAUAUUUUAUUGAAACUUUUAAUAAGAGGUUCUGGAAAGAAAGUCAAUGAGAAUAACUCAUUCAUGCCCAUGAUAAACUAUAAACCAAUUAUGCAAAACAGAUAAAUUCAAGCUUCUCAAAGUUCAUGAGUAUAAUCCACGCAGCUCUCCUGGGUUUUGACCACUAAGCCUCCCCUUCUUAGGUAUACUGUUGAGAUAUCACCAACCUUGUGUUUAAGAAGUUCUGCCCAUUUUUCAUCUUUGUUAUCUUCUUUGUUUUGAAGAUGACUUUGAAAAGGAAAAAUCUUGGGAAUCUUGUGGCAGAAUUCACAACACACACUCAGGCAUCUGUUAGGUCACAGGACAGCUCCCGGCCUUGUCACCCUUACAACAUUCAACUUAAUUGGUGCUUUCCAGUAGCAAGCAUCUCAUUUAGGCCUUUGCAAGGAUAACCCAGUUUCCUAUAUGACCUUCUGUCCAUUCCAUCCAGAUGAAUAGGUGUUGUUUACCAAGAUUGCUGGAGAAACCCAAGCAUUGGGAGCCAGUGAAGUCUUCCCAACAUGAUAAAGAUUCUCCUUUUCAAAUAUUUUUUUCAAAGAGGUUUCAAACUCUCUCUCAUUCUACAGUCAAUGUCCUAGACAUAUCCUUGUCUUAAAAGUACUGUGUGUUGGUUAUGGCCAUGGGUAUAGAGAAUGGCUACCUAGGUUCAUAAUUUCACCUCUGCCACUAACAAACUUUGUGAUCUUGCAUGAGUUGCUUAAUUUCCCUGAAUUUUUUCUCAUCUGCAAAAUUAUGAUAAAAAUAAUGCCUACAUCAAGACUAUAUAAAGAUUAUAUGUAAAUUCAAUUAGGGAAAUACCUAGCAAAUAUUCAACAUAUAACUAUACAUUUGUUGACUUAAAACUUUCACUUUUGCUACUAUAAUACUUUGGAGAAAAGAAUCACAACUUUAAGUUGGAAACACUUGUAUUCAAAUUCCAGUAUACAAUUGAAGAGUUGCUUCA